rnacentral:rRNA from 1 species
AUCGUAACUCCUACGGGAGGCAUCAGUGGGGAAUUUUGCACAAUGGGGGAAACCCUGAUGCAGCGACGCUGCGUGAUUUAGAAGGCCUUCGGGUUGUAAAAAUCUUUUUUACGGGAUGAAAAUGACAGUACCGUAAGAAUAAGGUCCGGCUAAAUACGUGCCAGCAGCCGCGGUAAUACGUAUGGACCGAGCGUUGUCCGGAAUCAUUGGGCGUAAAGGGUACGUAGGCGGCCUAGUAAGUUAGAAGUGAAAGAAUAUAGCUCAACUAUAUAAAGCUUUUAAAACUGUUAGGCUUGAGAGAUGAAAGGGAAAGUGGAAUUCCUAGUGUAGCGGUGAAAUGCGCAGAUAUUAGGAAGAAUACCGGUGGCGAAGGCGACUUUCUGGUCAUCAUCUGACGCUGAGGUACGAAAGCGUGGGUAGCAAACAGGAUUAGAAACCCGGGUAGUCCUAGAGC